rnacentral:rRNA from 1 species
ACUCCUACGGGAGGCAGCAGUGAGGAAUAUUGGACAAUGGGCGGGAGCCUGAUCCAGCCAUGCCGCGUGCAGGAAGACUGCCCUAUGGGUUGUAAACUGCUUUUGUACAGGAAGAAACACUCCCUCGUGAGGGAGCUUGACGGUACUGUAAGAAUAAGGAUCGGCUAACUCCGUGCCAGCAGCCGCGGUAAUACGGAGGGCGCAAGCGUUACUCGGAAUCACUGGGCGUAAAGAGCGUGUAGGCGGAUCGAUAAGUCAGGAGUGAAAUCCUAUGGCUCAACCAUAGAACUGCUCUUGAAACUGUCAAUCUAGAGUAUGGGAGAGGUAGAUGGAAUUUCUGGUGUAGGGGUAAAAUCCGUAGAGAUCAGAAGGAAUACCGAUUGCGAAGGCGAUCUACUGGAACAUAACUGACGCUGAGACGCGAAAGCGUGGGAGCAAACAGGAUUAGAUACCCUGGUAGGUGA